rnacentral:rRNA from 1 species
AGUUAAAUACAUUUCACGUUGAAAGCACCGGUUCUCAUCUAAUCACCGAAGUUAAGCAACAUCGAGCCUAGUUAGUACUUAAAUGGGUGACCGCUUGGGAAACCUAGGUGCUGUAAGCA